UGGCGGCAUGCCUAACACAUGCAAGUCGAACGGCUCUUCGGAGCAGUGGCGCACGGGUGAGUAACGCGUGGGAACCUACCCUGAGGUUCGGAAUAACGGCUGGAAACGGCCGCUAAUACCGGAUGUCCCCCUGAGGGGGAAAGGCUUGCCGCCUUGGGAGGGCCCGCGUCCGAUUAGCUAGUUGGUGAGGUAAUGGCUCACCAAGGCGACGAUCGGUAGCUGGUCUGAGAGGAUGAUCAGCCACACUGGGACUGAGACACGGCCCAGACUCC
rnacentral:rRNA from 1 species